rnacentral:rRNA from 1 species
UACGUAGGGUGCGAGCGUUGUCCGGAAUUACUGGGCGUAAAGAGCUCGUAGGUGGUUUGUCGCGUUGUUCGUGAAAUCUCACGGCUUAACUGUGAGCGUGCGGGCGAUACGGGCAGACUAGAGUACUGCAGGGGAGACUGGAAUUCCUGGUGUAGCGGUGGAAUGCGCAGAUAUCAGGAGGAACACCAGUGGCGAAGGCGGGUCUCUGGGCAGUAACUGACGCUGAGGAGCGAAAGCGUGGGGAGCAAACAGG